rnacentral:rRNA from 1 species
AACGAACGCUGGCGGCAGGCCUAACACAUGCGAGUCGAGCGAGGACUUCGGUCCUAGCGGCGGACGGGUGAGUAACGCGUGGGAACGUGCCCUUUGCUACGGAAUAGCCCCGGGAAACUGGGAGUAAUACCGUAUGUGCCCUUCGGGGGAAAGAUUUAUCGGCAAAGGAUCGGCCCGCGUUGGAUUAGGUAGUUGGUGGGGUAAUGGCCUACCAAGCCGACGAUCCAUAGCUGGUUUGAGAGGAUGAUCAGCCACACUGGGACUGAGACACGGCCCAGACUCCUACGGGAGGCAGCAGUGGGGAAUCUUAGACAAUGGGGGAAACCCUGAUCUAGCCAUGCCGCGUGAGCGAUGAAGGCCUUAGGGUUGUAAAGCUCUUUCAGUGGGGAGGAUAAUGACGGUACCCACAGAAGAAGCCCCGGCUACCUCCGUGCCAGCCGCCGCCGUAACAC